UACGAAGGGGGCUAGCGUUGUUCGGAUUUACUGGGCGUAAAGCGCACGUAGGCGGAUCUUUAAGUCAGAGGUGAAAUCCCAAGGCUCAACCUUGGAACUGCCUUUGAUACUGGGGAUCUUGAGUUCGGGAGAGGUGAGUGGAACUGCGAGUGUAGAGGUGAAAUUCGUAGAUAUUCGCAAGAACACCGGUGGCGAAGGCGGCCAACUGGACCAUUACUGACGCUGAGGCGCGAAAGCGUGGGCAGCAAACAGG
rnacentral:rRNA from 1 species